rnacentral:rRNA from 1 species
UGCAGUCGAACGCGAAAGGGGCUUCGGCCCUGAGUAGAGUGGCAAACGGGUGAGUAACGCGUGGGUGACCUACCCUCGAGUGGGGGAUAACGUCCCGAAAGGGGCGCUAAUACCGCAUAACAUCCUGCUCUUGAACAGGUGGCGAUCAAAGCUGGGGACCGCAAGGCCUGGCGCUUGAGGAGGGGCCCGCGUCCGAUUAGCUAGUUGGCAGGGUAAUGGCCUACCAAGGCGACGAUCGGUAGCCGGCCUGAGAGGGCGGACGGCCACACUGGGACUGAGACACGGCCCAGACUCCUACGGGAGGCAGCAGUGGGGAAUUGUUCGCAAUGGGCGCAAGCCUGACGACGCAACGCCGCGUGGAGGAUGAAGGUCUUCGGAUUGUAAACUCCUGUUGACCGGGAAGAAUUUCUCCGGGGUGAACAGCCCCGGGGGGUGACGGUACCGGUUGAGGAAGCCCCGGCUAACUCUGUGCCAGCAGCCGCGGUAAUACAGAGGGGGCAAGCGUUGUUCGGAAUUACUGGGCGUAAAGGGCGCGUAGGCGGCCAACUAAGUCGGACGUGAAAUCCACUGGCUCAACCAGGGAACUGCGUCCGAUACUGGAUGGCUCGAAUCCGGGAGAGGGAUGUGGAAUUCCAGGUGUAGCGGUGAAAUGCGUAGAUAUCUGGAGGAACACCGGUGGCGAAGCGGCAUCCUGGACCGGUAUUGACGCUGAUGCGCGAAAGCCAGGGGAGCAAACGGGAUUAGAUACCCCGGUAGUCCUGGCCCUAAACGAUGAAUGUUGGUGUGGGGGUAUCGAUCCCUGCCGUGCCGAACUAACGCAUUAACAUUCCGCCUGGGGAGUACGG